GAAAAAGAAAAGGAAAAAAAAAGAAAAAAGGAGGUUCGGAAAUUCAAAAUCAGGUUCGGAAGCAUCUGGGAAAUUUAGCUUCGGAAAGCCGCUAAGAGCUCCAACCUUCACUCCUUAUCCUCUUUGCCUUUGCUUUCUCUCUUUAGCCCUUUUUUCUUUUUCAUUUUCAUUUUUUCCCCUUUACUUCCCUCCAAUCUUUCUCUCAGUUUCUUUGAAUCAAAUCUUCAUUUCACAUUCUAAUUUAUCAAAGAUUUCGUCAUUUCAGCAAUUCCUCUUUGCUUCAGUUUGAAUUAUAUGUUGUCGAAUCCUUUACCCUUCUUUUGUCCCUCCAUUGUCUUGUUUUAUGAACUUUUUGUGUCUUUUAAAUUUUCUGCAAACCCUGAAAGCAAAGCCUUUUAUGAACCCGUAUUCCGUUCUUGCUAGUAUUUUGAUUUUCGUCUCUAGGUAACCUUCACUUUUGCAGAAUUAUAGAUUCUUGAAUUGAACUGGUUUUGGAGUUCAACAAAAUUAUCCGUUAGGAGGGUUUAGAUAGAUAUAUAAUCAUGAAAGGUGAAAGAAUGGUGAAGAGAUCAUCAUUUGGAAGAAUAGUAAGGAAAAGGCUAUCUGACAUUACCAACUCUCAUUCCCAACACAAAUUGGUUAGCCUCGAGGAAAAGCAGCCUCCAAUUCCUAACUCCACAGAUGACUUGAUUAAUCUGCUUCUUAAGGAGAAAGCAGCUCUAAUGCAGCUUAUUGAGGAGAGAAAUAAAAUCAUAGCAUUGAGUGAUAACCGACUGAGGAAUCUGCGAAUGCAUUAUCAGAAACUGCAGCUGCAGAACUGGAAUCUUGCUCAAUCAAACAGCCAGAUGUUAGCAGUCAGUUUCUCCUUGUUCAUUGUAACAUUCAAAGCUAAUCUUAUUUCUAGAGUAAUUUGUUUCUCAGUGAUACUGACUGUAUUCUGUCUGUAUUACAGGAGCUUAAUUUAGGAAGAGAAAAAGUAAUGUUCCAAAUCCCAACUGCAUGCUAGAUCAGUACUAGUCUUUUAUUUUAUGUCCAAACUCAAGAAAUUGAUAUCAUUGUUUCAGCUGAAGGCACUUCAACAUGAAGUUGUAUGCAAGGAUGCCUUACUUAAAGCAAAGAAUUUGGAGCAAGCGGUUGGUUUGAGUUUCCAUUCUUUGAUCUAUUUUAAUUUAUCACCUAUUCUGAAGUGUUCAUACGCAAAAAUAGACCUAGAAUUACCAUAUCACUAUAUGGUUUAGAAUGGAAUUCUUGUCUUUAGGCUUCAGGAAAUUCAGUACCGUCAGCAAAAUGCAACAUCUGAGAGCAUUACAAUUCCAUUUGCUGAUUGAAGAGGAAAAUAUAUGUUAGAGUUGGACAUUAAAGAACACUGAAAUAUGCUACCUAAAAGUAAUUGUAAUCAAUUAGUCUUGUUAUGCAGGGAAAAGCAGAUAUUAAAUAUCAAAACACUGGCUCCCAGGAAGUGGAAGCUAAUAACAAUACAAAGCCUGGCAAUAGCAUCAGUAGGCGAGCAACAAGAAGUCAAUGUAAUCAUUUUGAGUUAAAAUAACUCAUCUGAAUACACUUCUUUGUUUCCUUGUAAUGGUUACUGACAGUUAAGGCACUUUCAAAAUACUUGCAGCUAUGGGCCCUUCUACUACUUCUAGACAAGGCCAGGAAAAAGAGAUGCUUGAAAACAAAAGGCGUUGUUUGAGAAGGCAAUCUGCUAGGUUCAAAUCUCAGGAACGAGAACUGCCUAUGGAGAACUUGUUUGAGAUUGAAGAUGCAAAAUUUCCAAUCCCUCAUCAGCCACUUGAUAAUCCAAUGCAGGAAGAUGGUCUAACAACUCUCUCUGGUUCUUCUGUUGUAAAGGAAGAAAAAUUUGGCUCAGAAAAUGAAGCACAAGUAGCAGCAAGGUCUUCACUGGGCAGACCAGUUCGCAGAGCAGUGGAGAAGGUGCAAUCCUACAAAGAAGUUCCCCUUAAUACCAAAAUGCGCAGGGAAGAAUGAUCAGGAUUUACCAUUGGGUAGAACAACAAUCAUAAAGAAUUGGUUUCCACAUUAGUCAUUGUAAGCUAUGACCAAUGUUUGUGUUUUCUCCUCAGUAUUUAACAAACUGGUGAGUGCGGUUGUGUCAUUGUAGGUGAACAAUUAAUUGUUCUAAAUUGUAAAAGGGUUUCUUUUUUCAAUGAUCAUCUAUUGGUUUUUCAUAAUCAAUGAGAUCUCCUUCUCCAAGAACAAACUCUCACUUGAAAGGGUGCUUAGCUGAUUGUAU
rnacentral:misc_RNA from 1 species